rnacentral:rRNA from 1 species
GUCCACGCUGUAACGAUGGGCACUAGGCGUCGGGGAGGCGACCCUCCCGGUGCCGUCGCUAACGCAAUAAGUGCCCGCCUGGGAGUACGGCCGCAAGGUUGAAACUCAAAGGAAUUGACGGGGCCCGGCACAAGCGGUGGAGCAUGUGGUUUAAUUCGAUGCAACGCGAAGAACCUUACCUGGGCUUGACAUGUACGUGAAAGCCGGUGGAAACACCGGGCCUCCUUCGGGACGCGUACACAGGUGCUGCAUGGCUGUCGU